UGAGCCACUGCGCCUGGCUUUUCUUAAAAUUUUUAAUUUUGAUUUUUUUUGAGACAGAGUCUCCCACUGUCACCCAGGCUGGAGUGUGGUGGCACAGUCAUGGUUCGCUGCAGCUACAACCUCCUGGGCUCAGGUGAUCCUCCCACCUCAGCCUCCCAAAUAGCUGGGACUACAGGUACACACCACAUGCCCAACAAAUUUUUUGUUUUUGUUUUUUUGUAGAGACUGGGUCUUGCCAUGUGGCCCAGGCUGGUCUUGAACUCCUGGGCUCAAGUGAUCUGCCCACCUUGGCCUCCCAAAGUACUAGGAUUUCAGGCAUGAGCCACUAUGCCUCCGUCACCACUCCGCGAAGGCCAGAAAGGAACAGGAAACCCAGCUGGCAAGGGUGGUUCCCCACACCACCCCGACCCCCGCCGAGAGGAACGCAGCGCCCUCCUUCUUUCCUCUUUCUCAGAGUCCCACUUGGAUUCCAGGGAGGAUCACAAAGGGCCCCACAAGUCAAAUUCCUUCCCUAGCUGGGUGGUGCAGCUCUGCUGGGCGCCCUCCUUGAUCCCCCACUCACCACCCUCAGGAUCUGCUGGCUGGGCUGUGCCUUGCACUCAGCGUGAAGACUUUCCUCAUUGAAUCUCACGAUUUUUUGCUUUUGUCUCCAGUACCUAGUACCUAGGGGGUACCACAGCCCUUUUGGAAGCACCCUGCUAGGUUGAUCACUUCAUACUCCUCCCUCAUCUUUGUCUCAGUCCAAAGUGGUGCCUGAAUCUUUAAACAUAAAGGGAAUCUUGGGGGGGCAAAGCCAAGAGGGUGGGUUAAGACAGAACUGGAUGCCGUUUUCACUCUGAGCCUCCUAAGCUGAAGUCAGUAUGAACCAAACCCUACGGUUCAAGUUCAUAGCAGCAUGUAGGGAAGCUGGAACUUACACCUAGUUGCUAUGUGACUCCACAGCCACCUUGCCAGGUUAGGUAACUUGUCCAAAGCCAUACAGCUGGGAAGACAAACCUGGGUUCCACCCAACUCUGUCUGCGCUUCAUGAUGUUUUCUUGUUGCUGUUUCCACCCACACAUUCAUACUUAGCCUAAAACAGAAAAGUCCUUACACAGAAUUCUUUGAAAAGGAAUGUCCUAAAAGAGGGUUUCUACUUCUGGGUAAUUAGAUCUGAAGGUGAAGAUCUCCUCCAGCUAGGAAUCCAAGAAUGAGGGACAGUUUUUCCAGAUAUGAAAAUCCAGGAGCUACUAUUUUGUUGCAGUGUCCACUUGUUUAUCCCAAAAAAUCAACAAAUACUUUCUUGGUCAUAUUCAAAGCUGUAGGUGUGGGCAGAGGGGCUGGUGAGGGUGACACAAAGGACUGUGGUAAGGAGCUAACCCCUUGGUGCAUGACAGCCAACCAGUGCCACCAGCAGAGCCCGAUCGGAGCCAAAGGGGAAGUACAGGUGGUAAGGGCUACAGUCAUUUACUU
rnacentral:lncRNA from 1 species